GUCUUUUUGAGUUAUUUUUAAAGUCUGACCUGCCCACUGAAUUUUUUAAAUGGCCGCAGUAUUCUAACUGUGCAAAGGUAGCAUAAUCAUUAGUCUUUUAAUUGAAGGCUGGUAUGAACGGUUGGACGAGGUAUAAGCUGUUUCAUAUAAAUUUACAUUAGAAUUUUAUAUUUUAGUCAAAAAGCUAAAAUGUAGUUAAAAGACGAGAAGACCCUAUAAAUCUUUAUAUUUUAUAUGAUUUAAGUUUUUUUGAUUUGUUUUAUUUUUAUUGUAUUAAAUAUUUUGUUGGGGUGAUGUUAAAAUUUGAUGAACUUUUAAUUUUUUUAAGUCAUUAAUUUAUGAAUUAUUGAUCCAUUAGUAGUGAUUAUAAGAUUAAGUUACUUUAGGGAUAACAGCGUAAUUUUUUUGGAGAGUUCUUAUCGAUAAAAAAGUUUGCGACCUCGAUGUUGGAUUAAGAUAUAGGUUUAGGUGUAGCCGCUUAAAUGUUAAGUCUGUUCGACUUUUAAAUUCUU
rnacentral:rRNA from 1 species